GGGGGCAGCAAUGUCACCGGCGAACGGGUGCGUAACGCGUAUGCAACCUACCUACAUCAGGGGGAUAGCCCUAGGAAACUGGGAUUAACACCGCAUAAUAUAUGACAAGGCAUCUUGUUAUAUUGAAAUAUUUAUAGGAUGUAGAUGGGCAUGCGUAGGAUUAGCUAGUUGGUAAGGUAACGGCUUACCAAGGCUACGAUCCUUAGGGGCUCUGAGAGGAGUAUCCCCCACACUGGCACUGAGAUACGGGCCAGACUCCUACGGGAGGCAGCAGUAGGGAAUAUUGGGCAAUGGAGGCAACUCUGACCCAGCCAUGCCGCGUGCAGGAAGACGGUCCUCUGGAUUGUAAACUGCUUUUGAAUGGGAAGAAUGUGUGGCUUGCGAGCUAUAAUGACGGUACCAUUAGAAUAAGCCACGGCUAACUACGUGCCAGCAGCCGCGGUAAUACGUAGGUGGCGAGCGUUAUCCGGAUUUAUUGGGUUUAAAGGGUGCGUAGGCGGCUUAAUAAGUCGGUGGUUAAAAGUAGCAGCUUAACUGUUUUACAUGCCAUCGAUACUGUUGAGCUUGAGAUAUUUGGAGGCAGCUAGAAUUUCCGGUGUAGCGGUGAAAUGCAUAGAUACCGGAAGGAAUACCAAUUGCGAAGGCAGGUUGCUACGAAUAAACUGACGCUGAUGCACGAAAGCGUGGGGAUCAAACAGGAUUAGAUACCCUGGUAGUCCACGCCGUAAACGAUGAUUACUAGUUGUUGGGGUUUAAGCCUCAGUGACCAAGGGAAACCGAUAAGUAAUCCACCUGGGGAGUACGCCGGCAACGGUGAAACUCAAAGGAAUUGACG
rnacentral:rRNA from 1 species